rnacentral:rRNA from 1 species
UACGGAGGGUGCGAGCGUUGUCCGGAAUCACUGGGCGUAAAGGGCGCGUAGGCGGCCCGGGAAGCGUGGGGUGAAAGGCCGGGGCUCAACCCCGGCUCGGCCUCGCGGACUCCCGGGCUCGAGCGCAGUAGAGGCGGGUGGAAUUCCGGGUGUAGCGGUGGAAUGCGUAGAGAUCCGGAAGAACACCGGUGGCGAAGGCGGCCCGCUGGGCUGUGGCUGACGCUGAGGCGCGACAGCGUGGGGAGCAAACAGG